rnacentral:rRNA from 1 species
UACGAAGGGGGCUAGCGUUGUUCGGAAUUACUGGGCGUAAAGCGCGCGCAGGCGGUCCUUCAAGUCAGAGGUGAAAGUCCAGAGCUCAACUCUGGAAUGGCCUUUGAGACUAGAGGACUUGGGUACGGGAGAGGUGAGUGGAAUUCCGAGUGUAGAGGUGAAAUUCGUAGAUAUUCGGAAGAACACCAGUGGCGAAGGCGGGUCUCUGGGCCGAUACUGACGCUGAGGAGCGAAAGCGUGGGGAGCGAACAGG